rnacentral:rRNA from 1 species
UACGUAGGGUGCGAGCGUUGUCCGGAAUUAUUGGGCGUAAAGGGCUCGUAGGCGGUCUGUUGCGUCAGGAGUGAAAACUCGGGGCUUAACCCCGAGCCUGCUUCUGAUACGGGCAGACUAGAGGUAUGCAGGGGAGAACGGAAUUCCUGGUGUAGCGGUGAAAUGCGCAGAUAUCAGGAGGAACACCGGUGGCGAAGGCGGAUCUCUGAGCCUUACCUGACGCUGAGGCGCGAAAGCUAGGGGAGCAAACAGG